rnacentral:misc_RNA from 1 species
CGUUCCGAACCUCAUCAAUGACGUUGGGCUCAAGGUCGACAUAUAGUGACCGAGGCACAUGCUUGCCGGAAGAGGUCUCCGAGAAAAAAGUGCUGAAGCCAUCAUCGUGGGCCGACGGGGAGCCCUCCAGAAGGCGACCAUCGGGGCCGAGACCAUGCUCAACGGUGUAGAGUUCCCAGCAGGCAUUGCCGAUUUGGACACCGGCCUGGCCAACGUGUACGGAG